ensembl:piRNA 21ur-2825 ncRNA
UAAUGUUUCCUUCCAUUUUGC